rnacentral:rRNA from 1 species
GAUGAACGCUGGCGGCGUGCCUAAUACAUGCAAGUCGGGCGAACGGACGAGAAGCUUGCUUCUCUGAUGUUAGCGGCGGACGGGUGAGUAACACGUGGAUAACCUACCUAUAUGACUGGGAUAACUUCGGGAAACCGGAGCUAAUACCGGAUAAUAUUUUGAACCGCAUGGUUCAAAAGUGAAAGACGGUCUUGCUGUCACUUAUAGAUGGAUCCGCGCUGCAUUAGCUAGUUGGUAAGGUAACGGCUUACCAAGGCAACGAUGCAUAGCCGACCUGAGAGGGUGAUCGGCCACACUGGAACUGAGACACGGUCCAGACUCCUACGGGAGGCAGCAGUAGGGAAUCUUCCGCAAUGGGCGAAAGCCUGACGGAGCAACGCCGCGUGAGUGAUGAAGGUCUUCGGAUCGUAAAACUCUGUUAUUAGGGAAGAACAUAUGUGUAAGUAACUGUGCACAUCUUGACGGUACCUAAUCAGAAAGCCACGGCUAACUACGUG